AGAGAGAGGAAGAAGACAACAAGAACAAGAGCAAGAACAAAGCAGCUUAUGUAAAAUACUGACAGCUUACUGCAAUUUUACAGCAUUCCUCACAAGGUGGUUCAGAAUAGAUCCAGUGGACUGUAGUCUGUUUAACUGAGACCUCACACAUAAUGUCAUGGUUGACAGUUACUGGUUGAAGGAAAUCCAUGUUGGGCUUCUGUGGAUGCUGGAUUCUUUCCUUCUGAGAAGAAAUAUAACACACUGACUUUGAGGUGAUGGUGGAGAAAAAGUACAAGCAGAAGACUUUUCCCAACUUCUCCAUAGAAUGAAGAGGGAAUCUUUGAACUUGAUUACCAAGGAGAUGGGAUGAUAAAUCCAUCCAGCCACUCCAAGAAGCCAAGUUAAGGGUCACUGCCUUCUUGUCGAACUUGAAUCUGCCUUCAAUUUAUUAAUGGAUCUGGUUGGUGGCAUCCACUGUUUACCAAGAGCCUUUCUACAAUCCACACUACUGGACUAACGCUUUCCCCUACUUCACUCUACUCUCAAGGGAUGGAAGCACUGAUGAAGAGCACAGACAGAAUCAAGUGUACAUGCAGAACAUAUGGUAACCAUAUAAAGGGAUGAUGUCAAAAUUCUCAGCCUCCUUGCUCUUCAGUAUCUUCUUCCCCUUUACCUCGUCUGGAUGGUGUAUAAUGAAGAGGCACCUAGCGGUGCCUCCUGCCUCUAGAGUAAGAUUCAAGGGAGGAUAUAUAGGCUCCUCCAUAGGGUCAAGAGGUUUUCAAAGGCUGUGUUGUCCCAUCCAGCUACCAAAACAAGAGACAAAAUUGUGACCUGGAGUUGAAACUCUAGUGAGUGAUAAAGAGGGGAAGUUUCCUAAAGCAGAAGUUCUCAGUCUGGGGGCUAUCUGUGUGUUGUGUACUGAAUUUUGUGUCCUCCCAAAAUUCAGACGUUGAAGCCCUAGUCCCCAUUGUGGUUGUAUUUGGAGGUGGGGCUUUGGGAGAUGAUUAGAAUUAGAUUAGUUCAUGAAGGUGAAGCCCUUCUGAUGGGAUUAGUACCCAUACAAGAAGAGACACAAGAUCCCUCUACCAAUUAUGCUAGCUCUCCUCUCUUUCUCUCUCCACCGUCUGGGAUACUUCAGGAAGAUGUCUGUCUGCAAACCAGGAAGAGGUCCCUCAAGCACUAAAUCUGCUGGCACCUUGAUCUUGGGCUUCCCAGCCUUUAGGACUGUGAGAAAUCUUUGCUGUUUAAGCAAUCCCAUCUAUGGUAUUUUGUUACAGCAGCCCAAGCUGACUAAGACACUGUGGAUACCUUGCAUGCCUGGGAGGCUUGCACAUCCUUGGACAUUAUAAGUAAUAUUUUUCUGAAAAGGGGUCAUAACUCUCAUCGGAGAGUCAAAAGACCAAGUCUAUGACUCCCAAAAGAUUAUAUACCACUGACGGAGUGGCCCUUGUGUUCUUAUCCUGUAGAACCACAAGAAACUUGAGGAUUGGGGAUCCUAGUCCUGGCCUUCAUUCCGUACUUGCAUGACCAACAUCUAAGAGUACUAACAAAUAUGAUGAAAUAAGAAAGAUUCAAGAGGAUACACAUAUUUUCUUUGUCCAAUG
rnacentral:lncRNA from 1 species